rnacentral:rRNA from 1 species
GCCUGCCCUGUGACCCCAAGUUUAACGGCCGCGGUAUCCUGACCGUGCAAAGGUAGCGCAAUCACUUGUCCCUUAAAUGAGGACCUGUAUGAAUGGCAUAACGAGGGCUUAACUGUCUCCUUUCCCCAGCCAAUGAAAUUGAUCUUCCCGUGCAGAAGCGGGAAUACCAACAUAAGACGAGAAGACCCUAUGGAGCUUUAGACACUAGAACAGACCAUGUCAGCUACCCCCACAAAAAAGUAGUAGUUAUUGUAACCCCUGUUCUCCGUCUUCGGUUGGGGUGACCACGGGGAAUAAAAAAACCCCCAUGUGGACCGGGAGCACACCACUCCUAAAACCACGAGCCACCGCUCUAAAUAACAGAAUUUCUGACCAAAAAGAUCCGGCAACGCCGAUCAACGGACCCAGUUACCCUAGGGAUAACAGCGCAAUCCUCUUCAAGAGUCCAUAUCGAC